rnacentral:rRNA from 1 species
GAUGAACGCUGGCGGCGUGCCUAAUACAUGCAAGUCGAGCGAACGGACGAGAAGCUUGCUUCUCUGAUGUUAGCGGCGGACGGGUGAGUAACACGUGGAUAACCUACCUCUAAGACUGGGAUAACUUCGGGAAACCGUAGCUAAUACCGGAUAAUAUUUUGAACCGCAUGGUUCAAAAGUGAUAGACGGUCUUGCUGUCACUUAUAGAUGGAUCCGCGCUGCAUUAGCUAGUUGGUAAGGUAACGGCUUACCAAGGCAACGAUGCAUAGCCGACCUGAGAGGAUGAUCAGCCACACUGGAACUGAGACACGGUCCAGACUCCUACGGGAGGCAGCAGUAGGGAAUCUUCCGCAAUGGGCGAAAGCCUGACGGAGCAACGCCGCGUGAGUGAUGAAGGUCUUCGGAUCGUAAAACUCUGUUAUUAGGGAAGAACAUAUGUGUAAGUAACUGUGCACAUCUUGACGGUACCUAAUCAGAAAGCCACGGCUAACUACGUG